UAUGGGCAUUGUGCCCAUAAGGGGGACCGGGAGACAGCAAACUGCAGGUUCAUAGAAGAGGCAAGAAAGCAGCCUGGAUCACAGAAGUCUUCUUACCCCAAGAUAGAAAACCACUGGCAAAGCGUGAGAGUCCAGUUCCUUGGAGGAUGGUCUGUUACCUGAUCUUUGACUUCUAUGGAUUUAUGGCUAUGCUUUGGGAAGAGUAGCUGCCUGCUCUGCAGAAGGUUCAGGGCCUGACCUUGCAAGUAUGAAUCAUGGCUGGAUGGACUCAAGAGAAGUCAGUCCCAUGGCCACACCUGGCUGCAAGAGUGUCUAGGAGAUGGAACGCCCGACUGGCCGCCCCCCUCCGGUGACAAAUGUGUGUGAUCAGGCCAUGGCAGGAGUAUUGAGAUAGUCACCAAGAGAAGCAGGAGCAGGAGAGAAAGAAGGCCAGAGAAGCCCAGAGUGAAGAUUUUCAGGGGGCUUGGAGGCCUGCAGGCUUCCUGGCCCCCUGGCACCCCUGCCUGUGGUGUGUACCUGGUUGCUGUAAUACACAUAAAGCUCAAUAAAAGCCUG